rnacentral:misc_RNA from 1 species
UCCGGUUUGUCACCGGCAGUCUCCCUAGAGUGCCCUUGCGUAGCAACUAGGGACAAGGGUUGCGCUCGUUGCGGGACUUAACCCAACAUCUCACGACACGAGCUGACGACAGCCAUGCAGCACCUGUGUUACGGCUCCCUUUCGGGCACAGCCCCAUUUCUGGAGCCUCCAGGACAUGUCAAGGGUAGGUAAGGUUUUUCGCGUUGCAUCGAAUUAAUCCACAUAAUCCACUGCUUGUGCGGGUCCCCGUCAAUUCCUUUGAGUUUUAACCUUGCGGCCGUACUCCCCAGGCGGAGGACUUAUCGCGUUAGCUGCGACACUGGGAGGCUUACCCUCUCAACGUCUAGUCCUCAUCGUUUAUGGCGUGGACUAC